GGAGGGAGGGCGGCUCGUCACCCGUUGCACCCGGCGCAGGGAAGUGGGCGGGGUCUCCGCGAGCGCGGUGUGUUGACUCGCUCGCAGGCGGGCGGGGCGGAGGAGGUGAAUGGAGCCGCAGGUAGCGCAGGAACAAAGCGGCUUGACUCCAGAGGCGCGCGUGCGCACGGACUACCGCGCUUUCCCUACGGAGCCAGUGUCGUCUGCCCAGGAAGGGAGCUAAGGGCCGGGCCCUGCGGUCCGCCCGGUCCGUUCCCAGCGGGCGGAGUGCCUCCACUUCCUCGGGGUUCCCAUCUCCCACUCUGCCCUAGGCUGGUUAGCACACAGCCACCUUGCCUGGACAGAGCCCAGCAGGCCCGUCACAGAUCUAUCCAGCGAUGAGGGCACUUCUCUGAGGACUCCUCCAGGGGAACCGUACAGGCUGGAGGAGAGACCUGUGAGGAUGUGAGGAAAUGGAGAAACUCCCCGGGAGAGCACAGCAGGAACUCGCCCGUGGUCAGACAGCAGGAGGCUAGGACCACCUCUGCCCAGGACCUUGCCCUACAACUGUGCUAGGCCUGAACCCAUGAGGCGUGUGUGGAGCUACCUUCCCUAUCUGCUCAUAUCCAGCCCCAGAACCAAGCAGUGAAGGGGACUUCCAGCACGACAAGGCUUGGCUAUGAUAGUGGGAUGUUUGAUGUGAACUAAGCCAGAUGUGAGCUGGUGUGCAGCCUCCCUGCCGUCCACCCCUCCCCCAUCCACGUGGCUUGGUGACCCAGGAACUAUGUCGCCAAGAAUAAUUUAAGCAUUGGGGCGCCUGGGUGGCUCUGUCAGUUUAGCUUCUGCCUUGGGCUCAGGUCAGAUCCCAGGGCUCUGCUCAGUGGGGAGCCUGCUCCUCCCUUUCCCUCUGCCCCUCCCCUCUGCUCAUGGGCGCACAGUCUCUCUCUCUCUUGCU